CCUACGGGGGGCAGCAGUGAGGACUAUUGGUCAAUGGGCGCGAGCCUGAACCAGCCAAGUAGCGUGAAGGAUGACUGCCCUACGGGUUGUACACUUCUUUUAUACAGGAAUAAAGUGAGGCACGUGUGCCUUUUUGUAUGUACUUUAUGAAUAAGGCUCGGCUAACUCCGUGCCAGCAGCCGCGGUAAUACGGAGGAUCCGAGCGUUAUCCGGAUUUAUUGGGUUUAAAGGGAGCGUAGAUGGGUUGGUAAGUCAGGUGUGAAAGUUUGGGGCUCAACCGUAAAAUUGCAAUUGAUACUGGCAGUCUUGAGUACAGUUGAGGUAGGCGGAAUGCGUGGUGUAGCGGUGAAAUGCUUAGAUAUCACGAAGAACUCCGAUUGCGAAGGCAGCUUACUAAGCUGCCACUGACAUUGAUGCACGAAAGCGUGGGUAUCAAACAGGAUUAGAUACCCGGGUAGUC
rnacentral:rRNA from 1 species